UACGGAGGGUGCAAGCGUUAUCCGGAUUCACUGGGUUUAAAGGGUGCGUAGGUGGGCUGGUAAGUCAGCGGUGAAAUCUCCAGGCUUAACUUGGAAACUGCCAUUGAUACUAUCAGUCUUGAAUACCGUGGAGGUCAGCGGAAUAUGUCAUGUAGCGGUGAAAUGCUUAGAUAUGACAUAGAACACCAAUUGCGAAGGCAGCUGGCUACACGAAUAUUGACACUGAUGCACGAAAGCGUGGGGAUCAAACAGG
rnacentral:rRNA from 1 species